AAGCGCUCAAGACAUUAUGUCUACCAGAAGCUUACGCGGACAUUGUGCUGGACCUACCCCAUGCUCUCAAGAGGAUUCUCACCUCUCAGGACAGUGACUGAAUCAUGCGUAGGG